GCAAAGAACUCUAUAAGAAAAAAUAAACCGGAACCGGAAGUGGAAUCAGCACUCCCUCCUUACCGUCACCCAGUACUCUGCCAUCUCCGUGACUCUGAAAGCCAGUGUUGUUUCUAACAGGACUCCCACGAGCAAACUGGAGUGGUGUUGAGAAUGAGAGUAAAGGGAUAUAAAAGGGUCUCCCCCAUCUCAAAGGCGGUGUGGAGGGGGCGGGAGAGAUGGCUCAGUAGUUAAGGGCCCUGACUGCUCUACCACAGGUCCCAAGUUCAAUUCCCGAAACUACAUGGUGACUCACAACCAUCUGUAAUGGGAUCCAAUGCCCUCUCCUGGUGUGUCUGAAGACAGCAACAGUGUGCUCACAAACUUAAAUACAUCUUUAGGAAAAAAAAAGUGGUAUGGAGUAGUCUGUGUGCCUGCCUGCCUGCCUAGUUCUUUUGGAUUCAAGACUUAGAGAGCUGCAUUACUCAAGGCGAGAGCUAUGCAUGUUGCUUUGCUUUCCGUGCUGAAAAACUAAAUGGCCUGACGCUCUUCUGUGUUCCCCUGGAUGUUUAAGAAAAAAACAUUGCAACAUCUGACCCAUGCGCAGUUUGGCAUUAAACGAGUCUUCAGCAGUUCAGACACUGAGCGAGCACAGAACUCACUUGUCCCACACCAAUAUGGACACCAGAAGCUGCCAAAGAGCCGCAGGGGCGCUCCCUUCUUAGUCAAGUACUGAGAAGAGAUUUCAAGAGGCCAGAAGAGCCAAAUGUCCGUGCUGAUGUGCUGUUCUGCCCACAUCGGAACCUACACGGCCCACAUCUGAACUUGCACGGGGCCUACCUCGCCUUGGGCUCCCACUCUGAGUUUGGCUCUGUUUGGCCUGAAGCCUUUGAUCUGUGGUCCAGAGAGAAAAAUGGCUGGGCUGUUCUACAAAGAGUGGCGCAGAAGUUUGGCAGGUCUAUCCUGAGGGUCUCAAGAUGUUGUCUGGUCCUCUUUUGCUAUAUCUUUGACUUCUCAAACUAGACAGAGUCUUAGAGUAGGAGAACCAUUCUUCAUUGAAUGGGGGAGUUCUUCGGAUAGACACUUGCCUCUUUGACUUAGUUCUGUAAACCUACUUUGGUUCUGUUACCUCCUUCACCCUCAACUUCCUCUCUCAUUGGAUUCUGCACCCUUUGGGCACAUUGCCUUUUUUUUUUUUUUUCUGACUUGGAAAAAGAAAACUAUAGAAGGAUCAGAGCCUGGGCUCCGAGCCCCAUCUGUCUCCCUCCAGGGUCCCUCCACACUGGAGCAAACGAUUUUCUUAGGCGGGUGGGGCUCUUCCCCGCCCCGUUCAUUGUAUUCCACGGUUUCCUGUACACUGCUUGUAACCCUUUACCAAUCUGCCAGGCGCCUUUUAACACAAAAGAAAGGCGAGGGGGCAGGGACUGCUGAGGAAAAACAUCCCUAUAAAUAGCCCUCUUCAACAAAAUUGUUUUCCUCAUACACAGUUGUUGUUAGGCCUUGACGCCCCAUAAUCUUCAUCCGCACUCUCCACCCCUUCCACUCCAGCCUUCCUCUGGCUCGAAUGUGAUUGUCCUCCUGCUGAGAGAUGCAGGUGUAACUGGGGCUGGAUGGAAGCUGUUCCUCUCCAGCCCAGGUUGCUGUUCCCAGGGGGCCCUGGGUCCUAGAUCAGACACUCUGACUUUUUGCCCCAAGACCUUGAUUGGGCAAAUUUCUCUAACCUUGCAGAGCCGAGGUGUUCUCAUUCUUAGUAAGAGUGGUGGGAAUACCUCUCGUAGAGUUGGUGUGAGGAUUACAAAGGUUUUGGAAAGGCCCGUCCAUUAGUCUAUGCCUACACAGGUCCUACUACGUACACAAAGGAGUGCUUUUUAAAUUUUGUUUUUGUUUUUUGUUCUUGUUUGUUUGUUCGUUUGUUUCCUUUACAUGGUGAGUCUUCUGUUUCUUGCAGUUCUUCCUGUUCUGGUGUGUGUCUUCUCCCCCCUGCCCCGUUCCUUAUAAGCCAGUUUGUAAGCUUUAAGCCUAUUAAUUUAUAUUCAUUUAUUUAUACCUUUCUCAGUUCCACUAUGAGUUUAGAUAAUUCACUUUAUAUUUAAGUGGCUAGAACCUAGUGGAAUUUUCAGAAAGGAUAAGACAGUCCCUUCACGGAGCAGUUUCCUUACAUGAAGGAGUCUGCCUUUCCUAGGUGCUUUGGGGGUGGCUUUAGUCGUGGCUCACUCGCUUCUAAGGUCUCAUAGAUCCCAGGCUCUGCUUUUAUUCUUACACCAGGAAAACAGCAUAUGGAAGUUAAUAUAAAAAUAGGAGGUAAAACAGUCACAGACUCAUUACCUUCUCUGUAUAACUGCCCCCAAUCUGUGAACAUUUUCGAUUGGGCUGAUAUUCCCGUUGUUUCUCAUUAAGCCUCUUGGGUAUAUACACAUACACAUACACAUACACAUACACAUAUACAUACAAACACACACACACAUUCACAAAGUUGUAGAGUUUGGGGGCAGUGACCCCAGUUAACCAAAAUCAUACUUGGAAAAAAAUUUUAAUAUUCUGAGUUUUCAACGGUUAGUACACAAGUAUUGAACUCUUCAUACUGAUCCUAAACGAAGUUAGUCAAAUAUACAUAGUCUGAUGAGCUUGUGACUUUUCCAAAGAUGUGCGAGUGCGUUUACACACACACACACACACACACACACACACACACACACACACACACGUAUGAGUGUUUACGUAUCUGUGUUCGCCUCUGUGUUUCCAUGUUUUACAGGUUCAUUUGAUUUUAUAGGAGUCCUUUCUAAUUCCUCCGGACCUACUGGUUUCAAAUGUCUACAGAUUUGGUACCUAAUAUUACACACUAGGCAGAGCGUCUGUGAUUUAGAAUCUUUCUAUAGAUAUUUUAAAAUCCUUUCUGAGAUAAGAUUGCCCCCUAUAGUCUUAAGUACCCAUAUUCUGUCCCAUUUUCAAACCACUACUUUCUCCCUUAGAAAAUACAGCCUGUGUUAGGUUGAAUUAUAUUCUCUCAAAAUUGCUAAACUCCUAAGCCCCAGUAACUCAGAAUGUGUCUUUAUUGGGAAUAGAAUGGUCAUGGUGCAGUUAGUUAAGACUCAGUUAACUGGAACAGGUAUGACCCAGGUGUGCUUAUAGAAGCAGGUGGUUUGUAUUCAGGCCCUGACACAGGAAAGAUGCCAAGUAGGAGUGGCACUAUUUGAAAGGAUUAGAAGGAUUAAGAGGUGUGGCCUUGUUAGAGGAAGAGGUUUCAAAAGUCCACACCAGGCCCAGUCUGUCUCUCUGUCUCUGUCUCUGUCUCUGUCUCUGUCUCUCUCUCUCUCUCCCUUCCUCCCUCCCUCCCUCUCCCCCUCCCAUUCCUCUCUCUCUCCUCUCUCUCUCUCUCUCUCUCUCUCUCUCUCUGUCUCUCUGUCUGUCUCUGUCUCUGCAGAUCAGGAUAUUGCUCUCAACGACUUCUCUAGGACUAUGCCUGCCAUCCCUGCUGCCAUGCUCCCUGCCAUGAUGGUAACUGACUAAGCUUCUGAGGCUGUAAGCAAGCCCCCAAAUAAAAAUGCUUUCUUUCAUAAGAA